GGACCGCAUUCAUUGAUUGAUUGGUUGAAUAAAUAGUGUUGUAGCUACACAGAGUCACAGGCACAUUCACAUUUGCAUUUGGAGAGCAAUGGCGGAAGUCAAGAACACGCAGGUGAUAUUGAAGGAGUACGUGUCGGCCGGAUUCCCAAAAGGAAUCAGACAUGGCCGUCGUCAGUACCACCACCAAACUGAAGCUUCCAGAAGGCUCCACCGGGGUUCUGGUGAAGAACCUCUACUUGUCCUGCGAUCCUUACAUGAGAAGCCGCAUGACUAAGCGCAACUCUGCUUCUUAUGUCGAUCGCUUCAACCCCGGCCAGCCUAUGGCUAAAGUUUUGGAAUCUGGUGAUGCAAUGUUUAAGCAAGGCGAAUUGAUUUGGGGAAUGACUGGCUGGGAAGAGUAUAGUCUUAUCACUUCCGUUCAGGCGUUGUUUAAGAUUCCCACCACCGAUGUGCCUCUCUCUUACUAUACUGGAAUUCUUGGUAUGCCUGGUAUGACUGCCUAUGCUGGCUUCUACGAGAUCUGCUCUCCUAAGAAAGGAGAGACAGUCUAUGUUUCAGCAGAGCAUCAGGAGCGGUCGGUCAGCUUGUUGGCCAAUUUGCCAAGUUGACCGGGUGCUAUGUUGUAGGGAGUGCUGGAAGCCAAGACAAGGUUGAUUUGCUGAAGAACAAGUUUGGCUUUGACGAAGCCUUCAAUUAUAAAGAAGAAACUAACUUGGACGCAGUUUUGAAAAGGUACUUUGAAAAUGUUGGGGGAAAGAUGCUCGAUGCAGUGCUACCGAACAUGAAGAUUGGAGGGCGAAUCUCAGUUUGUGGGAUGAUCUCACAGUACAACCUGGUGCAACCUGAAGGUGUGCAUAAUUUAAUGUAUCUGGUGUGAGUGGUGUCUAAACAGCUGCGCAUGGAAGGCUUCCUGGUUGCAAAAUACUUUCCUGUCUACGGCAAGUUUCUCGAAUUUGUUCUGCCUUACAUAAAAGAAGGCAAGGUUGCAUACGUUGAAGAUGUUGUUGAAGGCCUGGAGAAUGCUCCAUCGGCUCUGCUUGGCCUCUUUGCUGGCCACAAUGUAGGAAAGCAGGUGGUUGUUGUUUCCCGAGAAUGGAUGACUAGCUACAUCCAUGGAUUCAUCUCAAUGAAACUGAAACUAAACUUUACAUGA